rnacentral:rRNA from 1 species
CCCUUAGAUGUUCUGGGCCGCACGCGCGCUACACUGAUGCAUUCAACGAGUAAUCUUUGACCUUGGUCGACAGAUCUGGGUAAUCUUUUGAAAUUGCAUCGUGAUGGGGCUUGCGGGUUGCAAUUACCCGCACCAACGAGGAAUUCCUAGUAAACGCAAGUCAUCAACUUGCAUUGAUUACGUCCCUGCCCUUUGUACACACCGCCCGUCGCUCCUACCGAUGAAUCGUCCGGUGAAGUUCGCAGAGUGGCGGUUCGUGGAGUUGCUCGCGAAGUGAAAUGGACCUCACGAUUUAGAGGAAGGAGAAGUCGUAACA